UACGUAGGUGGCAAGCGUUGUCCGGAUUUACUGGGCGUAAAGAGCGCGCAGGCGGUCGGAUAAGUCGAAUGUGAAAGCCCCUGGCUCAACCAGGGAGGGUCAUUCGAUACUGUUCGACUCGAAGGCAGGAGAGGGAAGCGGAAUUCCCGGUGUAGUGGUGAAGUGCGUAGAUAUCGGGAGGAACACCAGUGGCGAAGGCGGCUUUCUGGCCUGUUCUUGACGCUGAGGCGCGAAAGCUAGGGGAGCAAACGGG
rnacentral:rRNA from 1 species